AAUUGAUAUAGACCCAAGUCAUUUAGUGAGAUGAGGAAGACGCCGCGUUUGAAAUGGUC
rnacentral:tRNA from 1 species